rnacentral:lncRNA from 1 species
ACAUCUAUUAAGCAAACGUUUUACAUAGAACCUAACUUACUUAUCAAAUAGAGACAUGUUGAUACAAAAAUUAAGUUUGUUGCGUUUAAAUGAUGUUAUAUGCUAAUUUCACAAACCGGUGAUGGUUCGUAGUCAUACAUCAUAACGAAAUUUAUCAAUAGUUACUUGUUUUAUAUUUCACAAUAACUUAUUUAAAUAAAAGAGGUUAAAUUCCUUCAACCAUUCUUAAUAAAAUACUCAUAUUGCUUAAUAAUCAAAAGAUAGCAUCGUACGAUCGUUCCUAUUUUUACCAAUUGUUACAUUCUCCCCCCGUUAAAAGAAUUUCGCCCCGAAAUUCAACUUGUAGACGGGAUAUCACUAAACAAUUGGGGGUGUUUCUUUUUUUUUUUUUUUUUUUUUUUUUUUUUGAUUCGCGCGUUCCCUAGUGAAUUCAGGUCCUCGCUUGGCGUUCCAACGGGCCUUCACUAUGGGUAUGCGGCUUUGUUUCGUCCUUUUGACCUCCUGAUCCAUGAUUUCCACCGGUUCUUCGAUGAAGUUUAGACUCCCGUUGAUUUCAAUUUCAUCCAGUGGAAUAACAAGAGUCUCAUCAGACAAGAUCUUCUUCCGAUCCUGGGAUGCCUUCAAUCAUUCACGGGUUUGAACAAUCUUCUCUGUAGUUUCUCGUAUGAUCUGGGGGCUGGUGAAAGUGUUGUUAGGAACUUGCCUGUUAGCUAUUUGUGUGUCACCUACCUCAUCCCAUCAAAGAGGUGAUCUACACUUGCUUCUGCAGAGAGCUUCGAAUGACGUGACCUUGAUGUUAAUGUAAUAGUUGAUGUUGUAUAAGGAUUCGAUGAAUGGUUCUUCCUCUUUGUCUUUCAGUUUGAGGGUGAUAAAAAGGACUUCUUUAACGACUAUUAAAAACACGAGGCGAAUCGCCUGUCCCUUAUCCAAAAUGAUAGAUAGUGGUAUACUAUGCAGUCUCGCAAUUUUCUUUGUAUAUGCUCCUGUUAGCUUUUCUAUUUUUCUUUGUAUCCUUGGUCGGUAGAAAGUGUGUGGGUUUGGUUGAUUUGUCUACGAUCGCUCAAGUGGUAGCAUGUCCAUCCACUGUCCUGGGUAACUUGUCAUGGAGUUCAUGGUAUGACUCAUAACUGAUUCAUCUAUCAUCUCUUUGUGUUUAUAAGUCGUAUAUAAUUAAGAUUGAAAAGACAGUCGAAUCGGUGAUUCUAUUCUAAGCCCACAUCCAAACAAGGAAAAGGAUUUAAAGCGGAAUUACCAACCCUAAGUCCGUAGAAUCUUAAUUAUAUAGGGCUCCAAUAUAUACACUUAGUAAUCAUAGAUUCACUAGUAUGGGUCCAUAGUCUCUACUUGAGUGGGGUGAUUAACUUGGGUGAGAUGGCAUUUACCACAACCCUUUUCCGCAACUACUACACUUAGGUUGAUUUUUGAACUCGGGUUACCGUAUGGAUGGUAUUCCCAGGAGAUCUUCUCGGAAUAUAUCGAGAAGGUUACGGGCUUUUUCAACAUCCAUGAUGUCUUUCUCUUCUUGUUUCUUAUCCACAGCACAGGCUAGGACGGCGUGGUGCCUCCUGUGUAGGUACUUCUGAGUCUUGUUGCAAAAGGUGAGUCGGGGGAUUGUGUCCGGUUUGUCGUUAUAGACAACGAGGGUUCUAUUACUCGAUGGGUUUAGGCGAAUGGACUUUUCGUAAUAUAUGAUAUCGGUAUGGUGAGGAAACUAACUAAUACGUUGUUAAAAUGAAAAUGUCGUAAAUUUUUAUUGUGACCGGUUUUAGGAUGAUUUGAAUGAAUUGGUUGAUUUAGUGUUAGAGUGCACCCUAUGUACACGUCUCUAGUGCUUUUGAUUAUUCCAAUUCUACUGUAAAUAUUUCGUUUAAGUUUUUGAGGUUUUUGGUUGAGAAAUUGAUUAAAUCUACGACUCACAAUACUCCUCUCCGCGUUGCUAUUAUAUAGUAUCCAUGCAUAUGUGCUAUCGGGAAUGAACGUACCGGAAUCUCAGCGGGGUCUAUUACUGCUUUCCCACGCUCUGUUGCUAAAACACUUCCGAUGCUCUUGACAUCUUUGUUUUUAGUCUCCGGGAACUCCUUUAUGAAAUGCCCUACUUCUCCACAUCUGUAGCAAGUCCGACUCAUCCCAGCUUUUGUGUUCUGGUUGGUCUGUUGAGCCGGCACCCUACAGAACUUUGUGGUAUGCCCCUUUUUCAUUAUAGUUCUUGCAAUGCAUUUCCCUGCACUUUCCUUUGUGAUGAAAGCUACACUUGGUGCAUUUUGGCAGGUUUCCAACAUAUGGUCUUGUUGGCACUGAGGUAGUAGGGAUGGUGGUGGUAUGGAAUGUCACUGUUUGUUGUACAAGUUGAGGUAUCGUGGAUUGGUGAAUAAUAAAAUCCAACCACUGAAAGAGACUUGGAAAUGUCUCCGUAUCUAACUUGCUAUGGUCCAAUGACUUAACUAAAGCAGGUUUCAGAUAGACUCCAAUGAGAGUAUGAUAAGAGUACUUGAAUGAUGGAAAUGACACAAAAGUUAGCCGGCGGUCAAUAUCUUGGAUAUUUACGGCGUAAAGGUUCAGGAAAAUGGCCUUGUAAAGGUCUUACAUCAUAUACACAGGAGAUAGUUCCUGACAGUAUAAAGACCUAACUAAAGUACUUACGGUACAAGAUAAUUUCAUAGAAAAUGCCACAUCAGGCAUAGACAGAAGAAUACGAUUCCUCUUUUUGUAAGGGAAAUAAAGUAAAGCGUCUACUACUGGUGACGGUAAUUCCUCUGGUGAAUUCUUAGUUCAACCAAUUGACGUUCCAUGUCAAGUAGGUGUCUCUAUUACACCCUCUGGCGUACUUGGAGCUCUAUGACUUUGGCUCGGGUUUUCAGCUAGUGUUUGCAGCAGGUUCUCAUGGUUUCUUUCUGAUCUCUUGUGAGCAUCUUCUAGAUGAGUGGUGUGGAGGGUAUUCAUUCUUGCAUCGGUGACAACUUCGGCAAUCUGAUGUUGGGCUGUCCUGCCUUGAAUCUCAUUUUGGGCCACUCUGCGGACCAUGAUUGGCAAGAUUCUACCUGCUGAGCCCCCAUUGCUCAGGUCGUAAAAGUUUCGGUCGCCAAUAAAUGGCAUGGGCUGAUCUUGUUCUUGGCUUCAUGUUUCCAAGCAUUCCACCGAAUCAGGCGUCGGGCCAUGAAGAGCUGGACGAGGGUUAGGAAUUGGAAAGGGAGUUGCUCGAGGUAGGUUCUCAACCUCUAGUUCGGAAUUAGCAUCGGCUGAAAGGUUUUCAUCAUGAUGAUCAUCCAAAGGGAUAGGAUGAUCAUUCUCUGGUUCUUCUCCAAACCAACCAGCUAUGACUUCAUUCGGAAGAUACUGGUUGUCAAGGGGAUGGAGCCCAACUAUGAUUUCUAUGCGAGAAUUUAGGGUAAGUGGAUAAUUAUUAGACGAACUAUCUAGAUAAUUAUUUAGAAAACCCUCAUUAGUUACAUCACUAUUUGUGAAGUGCAUACCAGCUAUGUGUAAUCUAAACAGGAUAGACCUUCGAAUAAGUGACCUUAUUUCCAAAUUCACACAGAAUAGGGGUAAGGCAAAAUUAUCACUGAUUCUAAGUCUAUAACAUCCUAAUUACAUGUAGCCUUAGUGUAUCCACUUAGCAACUAUCAACUUAGUAAUGAGGAUCCCGUUUUAAUUCUCAAGUAUAAAGUACUUAUAGUAACACCAAAUACUCCUAUAGUAUUUUAAUUUUUAUGUUAUGUUCUAUUGUUCUCAUUGUGGUAGGGUUGGUAAGAUUUUAGCAUUGUUGCGACUACACACUUAAACUUAGGCACAUGCUAGUCAACCCUCGGAUAAUAUAGGCGAUCAGGCUAUAUCUUCCCAGUUUUGACCAUAUGUCUCUAAGCCCACUUGUGUUGCCCAACAAUCGUAAUUCUUUUGUACUGUCCUAGUGACACUGAUUUUAGUAUGAAUGCAGCACGUAUACUUACUUAAAUAUUUUAUUAUUUAAAGUAUAAACUCUAAAUCAGAGUAUUUUUAAUCCCAUUGUAUUUAUAGUUAGUAUAUCUUUUAUGGGUUGAUAUACUCAAUUCACUAUAAACAAUGCUCUGAUACCAAUCUGUCACACCCCAAAACCAAGAACGGCGGAAACGUUCUGGGGCGGAGGACGUCAUGUAUGCAUCACAACAAAUGUAAAGUAGUAAACAAGCAACAACAUCAUCCAUUGCAUCAAUAGUAUAAUUUUAGUUACAAGUGUUUUCUUUCAUUGUACAAGAUAUGAUAAUAACUUAUCAAAAAAAAAAAAAAAACGAGUCUUGACUGCUCCGUCUUCUCUGAACCUUGUAUCGACACCUGUCUAUUUGUAACCUGAGAAUACAAGUUAUUUUGAAAGAGUAGAUCAGCAUUUAAGCUGGUGAGUUCAUAAGUAUUUAAUGUCAUUGCUUUGAUUAGUUGAUAUGAAAGACUGGUAAAUGAAUGAUGAAACAUUUAGUAUAAGUACGAAAAGCUCUAGAAAAUCCCAUAUUUCCUACUAGUAUAAAAGUAGUCUUCUACCAAGACUCGAAUGUUUUGAAAGUAGUCUUUUACCUAGACCUGACUGUUUUGAAAGUACGCAUCUCUUGAAAAUGUGAUGGUUUUUCCUUGUUUAACUCUUAUUAGUAGUCUCUUAAGUAUACCUGAAAUGGUAUCAACUUAGAACAUCCGUAGACUGUUCAUUUACCUCUGUUGCUAACAGCCGGGUUUAGGAAUAGUUAGUCCCUUCUGUAUACCCACGAUGGUAUCAACCUAGAACAUCCGUAGAUUGUUCAUUUACCUCUGUAGCUAGCAGUGGUUAUCGGAAUGGUUAGUCCCUCAAAGUAUGAUGUGGUACUAGGAGAUAAAGUCCCAGUCUACCUCGUCGAUGAUGUGAUUGAAUCACAAGGUAAAGAUAGAAAGGCGAACAAUAUAACCGUAUCUAGACAUAUAACAUGUAAUAUUAAAUUGCCAUAUGAUGUCUAUGUAAAAGUAUUCAUGUACAAGUAUUCAUGUAUAAGUAUUCAGGUAAGAGUAUUCCUUCAUAUAACAUGUAGUAGUAAUUUGCCAUAUAAUGUUUAUGUAAAAGUAUUCAUGUAUAAGUAUUCAUGUAAAAGUAUUCCUUCAUAUAACAUGUAGUCUGGACUCAUGAAUGAACUGACUCUGGUGUAAUUUCUUGUAGUAGUGAAAAUGUUUUGUUUACUCUAAACUAUUCCUAUAAUAGUUUACUAGAAUGUAAUUGAUGAGUGUCCAAGUAGGUUUAUACACCUUUGCUACCCAGGAGUAUCGAAACUAAAUUAACUGGUGGAACAUUUAUGACCAUAUAUGUAUACAUGAUAUAUAACUAAUAUUUAAACGACCUUCGGAGGAGUACCCGAUAUCCCACCAGACCACAUCCAAAUCGAGGAAAAGGAAACAGGGUGGAUAGCCUUUCUAAGUCUUUUAAACAUUUCUUAUAUAACUAUACAUAUAGAGGCAUGCAAUUUAUAAUAUAAAAGCAUAAAGAAGUUUUGUAAACAAAACAUAUAUAUGUAUAUGGUUAUAUAUAUGUAUAAAUUUUAAAAGAUGAUUUGGUAUGUUUCGUAAUUGUUGUUCAUAUUCUUACGUUUUUAUUAGAAACUUUGCAUGAAAUAAUCCUUAAGUUUGAUACUAAAGACCUUUUUGUACUUAUCACUUUUGUAAAAAUGGUAAUUAAACAUAUUUAAAUGAUUGUGUUUUAACUUCCUUAAUGUAUAAACAUUGCUAAAAAAUGUUAGAAGGUGUUAAUAAAUGUAUAAACCACUUUUGACAGUUUUGCCCUUUACUGUCCCUGUUUUUAGAAAACUCAUAGAAAAAUCCUCGUAAGUCAAAAACUGAAUCCGUCACCUCUGAGAGUUUAUAAAAUGAGUCUACUUUGUUCCUAAUUUUUAUUAUGAUUUUUAGUGGUCUCAAACUAGUGUGAAAAUGAACAUCUUCACAGACUGGUCCGAAAUCACUUCUGAAAUGACAGGCAGUUUUAUAAAAAUCGCCAUAAAUUGUAGAAAAAUCGUAUGAACGCGUGCGAGUAGUCAUUAGAAAGGUAUAAACUUGAACUAUUUGCAUAUUGUACAGUUUUGAAAGAUAUUAAGUUUAAGAUGGUCAAAACAGUCCGUGAACAGGACUCAACUUUUCUGUAGAAAGCUGUCAUUUAAAUUUAAGUUAUGUUUAGUGUUCUAACUUGUAUUCCCCCCCUUAAAACUUGAAUAAAACAUGAAAAUGUAGGGGUAUGAACUCACCUUAUGUGAAUACUUGAAGAAUGGAAAGUUGAAGAUGAACUUUUGGUUGUUGGUUUGAUGCUCCAAAACAGCCACUCUUUUGGCUAUGUUGCUGUCACGAAAAUUUCACAGCAAAAGUGCAAGAAAAAGGGUAGUUUACUCACUGUUUUGAAUCAAUAAUUUUGAGUAUCAAAACAAGUAACUUCCAGGGGUAUUUGGUGGUAAAAAUAUCAAGCAAAAGGAAGGUGUAGAUGGGUGAAAUGGUGGCUGAAACACAAAAGGGACAGCAACCCUUUAGUUCAUGGUUUUGAUGGCUUUGGAAGGAAGUUCUUGUGCUUGAAAAUGAGAUGAAGGUUGAGAGUAAUUACUUGGAGUAUUGGCUGGUCAAAUGAGGGUAAAAUGAAGAGGAAAUUUCGUGGUUAUGAAGGAGGAAAGGGUGGAAGAGGAUAAGGGGACAAAACCUAGACUAGCUUGUGAUGGGAUGUGAGUUUAAGUGAUGUGAUCUUGUCUAGCCACUUGCUUGGGUGGUUGUUUAGAGAUAGAGUUAGUUAACUAACUAACUACUAGUUAUUUAGUUAGUUAGGAGUUCUAGUUAAGGAGAGGGAAGGUCUUAAUCUCGAAAAUUAGAAGAGGGAUUAAUAAGCAUUCUUAGUAAAAUGUCUUAAGUGAUUAAGCACUUAUUAGUUAAGUUGGCACUUAUCUCCACCAAUUCUCUUAUCUUAAUUGAUUUAGACAUCAUAAAACUUACAUGAAAUCAUUUUAAUUCAUGACUUAUAACUAGUCAUUCACUAGAUAAUAAUACAUAUAUACAAAUACAUACAUGUAUACUUAGUAUAAAAUAACAAUGUAGUUUUUGUGUAUUUGAACUUUAAUGUUUAUGUUUUAUUCUUUUUAUUCAAAAACACUUAAAUACAUUUUAAUUAUACCUUAUAAUAAUUCAUUUUAUAUUUUAAUUUAUUUAAAUAUAAAAUUUAUUGAGCAAUGUAUAAUUUCGUGACAUUUAACCGGUUAACCAUAUCGUUAAACACGUUUUGUCACUUUGGUUCGUAUAUUUGUCAAAUUUAGAUCCUUCACAUCUAUUAAGCAAACGUUUUACAUAGAACCUAACUUACUUAUCAAAUAGAGACAUGUUGAUACAAAAAUUAAGUUUGUUGCGUUUAAAUGAUGUUAUAUGCUAAUUUCACAAACCGGUGAUGGUUUGUAGCCAUACAUCAUAACGAAAUUUAUCAAUAGCUACUUGUUUUAUAUUUCACAAUAACUUAUUUAAAUAAAAGAGGUUAAAUUCCUUCAACC